GGCGGGGCCGUUGCCGUAACGGACGGCUCGGCCGUUAACGGCUGCGCGGGCCGUGGUAGCUCAGCGCUGAGGGAGCUCCGCGAGCUCCCCGGAGCAGCCCCUGGCCGAGGUGGCGCAAGGAGGCUGUGGUAUCACUACCUGCCCCCUCACCGCGGGGCUCUGCUCCCCGGGAACCUCGAUACGUCCCUCGCCUCCCCGUACGUGCUAUUUCGUAGCUAGAAAAAUUAAGAAGCAAGUUGCACAUGCAGUGGCCUACGAUUUGAAGUUCGAAAUGCUGUAACUUCACUGAGGAGGUACUAUUUUUCUGUCCCAAGUAUAAGUAACAGAAACAUGACCACAUCAAUAGAAUGCCAACAGUGUCUAUGCAAAGAUGCGUAGCAAUGGACAGAGAAAGAGAUUAUGAACUGGUUACUGAAGAAUUCCCUAUAUUGAACUAUGGUAGGAGGUGUCCAUCAUGCUCUAUUCAAGGGACUGCUUCCUAA
rnacentral:lncRNA from 1 species